rnacentral:rRNA from 1 species
AUUGAACGCUGGCGGAAUGCUUUACACAUGCAAGUCGAGCGGCAGCGCGGGGGCAACCCUGGCGGCGAGCGGCGAACGGGUGAGUAAUACAUCGGAACGUGUCCUUAAGUGGGGGAUAGCUCGGCGAAAGCCGGAUUAAUACCGCAUAAGCUCUGAGGAGGAAAGCGGGGGCUCCGUAAGGACCUCGCGCUGUUGGAGCGGCCGAUGUCGGAUUAGCUAGUUGGUGGGGUAAAGCCCACCAAGGCGACGAUCCGUAGCUGGUCUGAGAGGAUGAUCAGCCACACUGGAACUGAGACACGGUCCAGACUCCUACGGGAGGCAGCAGUGGGGAAUAUUGGACAAUGGGCGCAAGCCUGAUCCAGCGAUGCCGCGUGUGUGAAGAAGGCCUGGCGGGUU